UAUUUUUGCACCGUCCUAUAAUCGCUAUAGGACAUACAUAAAAAUCAUUAAACCAAUAUUGGAAUG
rnacentral:ncRNA from 1 species